GCUAGUAUGGUAUAGUGGUUUGAGUGCUAGACUAUGACCCUAGAGAUCAGGGUUCAAUUGCCUGCUUGAA